GGAAACCAAGAAGCAAACCUACCUGGUUCCGAGGCUGGGACCUAACAGGUGAGUGGCCACAGCAGGUGACACUCAGCCUGCACGGGGGGUGUCUCAUGACCGCCAUGGACAAGAGAUAAAGACGAGGAUGGCGAAGUGGAGUUAACGACAAUUCAUCACUCUCUGUUUCCACCUUGACUGGGAAGAAAGCCCAUUUGAGAUUUAUUUUAAAUGAUCCGAUGUAACGUUUAGAAACAUGAAGCAGAUUAAAAAUCCAUGUGUUGUUUUUACAAAAAUAAACAUGGGGAAAACAUA